UGGGGAAUCUUGGACAAUGGGGGAAACCCUGAUCUAGCCAUGCCGCGUGAGUGACGAAGGCCUUAGGGUCGUAAAGCUCUUUCGCCAGGGAAGAUAAUGACGGUACCUGGUAAAGAAACCCCGGCUAACUCCGUGCCAGCAGCCGCGGUAAUACGGAGGAGGCAAGCGUUAUCCGGAAUUAUUGGGCGUAAAGCGUUCGCAGGUGGUUAUUCAAGUCCGCUGUCAAAGCCCGGGGCUUAACCCUGGAGAGGCAGUAGAAACUGAAAAACUAGAGACCGGUAGGGGUAGAGGGAAUUCCCAGUGUAGCGGUGAAAUGCGUAGAGAUUGGGAAGAACACCAGUGGCGAAAGCGCUCUACUGGGCCGGUACUGACACUCAGGGACGAAAGCUAGGGGAGCGAAAGGGAUUAGAUACCCCUGUAGUCC
rnacentral:rRNA from 1 species